rnacentral:rRNA from 1 species
UACAGAGGGUGCAAGCGUUAAUCGGAAUUAUUGGGCGUAAAGGGCUCGUAGGCGGUCCGUCACGUCGGGAGUGAAAACUCAGGGCUCAACCCUGAGCGUGCUUCCGAUACGGGCGGACUAGAGGUAUGCAGGGGAGAACGGAAUUCCUGGUGUAGCGGUGGAAUGCGCAGAUAUCAGGAGGAACACCGGUGGCGAAGGCGGUUCUCUGGGCAUUACCUGACGCUGAGGAGCGAAAGCAUGGGGAGCGAACAGG